UACAGAGACUGCAAGCGUUAUUCGGAUUCACUGGGCGUAAAGGGUGCGCAGGCGGCCAAGUGUGUGAGGCGUGAAAGCCCGGGGCUUAACUCCGGAAUUGCACCUCAAACUACAUGGCUAGAGCAUUGGAGAGGGUAGCGGAAUUCACGGUGUAGCAGUGAAAUGCGUAGAUAUCGUGAGGAACACCAGAGGCGAAGGCGGCUACCUGGACAAUUGCUGACGCUCAGGCACGAAAGCGUGGGGAGCAAACGGG
rnacentral:rRNA from 1 species